CAAAAAGUCUAAACCCACAUGAGCUUGCUCAUAAGGGGGUGAAAGACUUUGAGACCCGCCCCCGAUAUGAGCAUAAAAGUGGAGCGGCAGCUUCACGAUAUGCGAAUAUUGGGGGAUGCGGAUUGUGGGAGUGCGCAGCGCGGAAAAAUCCGUUGGUAUC
rnacentral:sRNA from 1 species